AGAUCGAAGCCGCGGCCCUUGUCCGCCUUCUCCUCCUCUUACUCCUCGUCGCAUCGAUCUAUUCUUCCAUUCUCCUCCAUCUUCUUGGGAUUGAUCGCUGGUAAUCGUCGUUUUCCAUACCCCAAAUCCUCAUCGUUAUCUUUGUUGGGCGGGAUCGACCGCUGGUAAAGCGGCGUCGAGCGAGUGCAGAUCGCCGUGGCCGAACGCCUCAUUAUGCCAGCCACAUCGAUCCGUCGAUCUCUGACCGAGCGGACUCCUCUUCUCUUCACGAGUCCCGCUCUUGUCAAGAUCCGAUACAUGCCGCAGAUCCCUCCCAAAGAUGUGCCUCUCCUUCAUGUUUCUGUUCCGAUUUGAACCUUUCUCGAUCGCGUGUUUUCAUGUCUAUUGGAUCGGUCGCUGGUGAUGUGGUGUUGAGAAUCGUGAUAUAGGGUUUCUCUGCACCUCCCAUAACCAGCAAUACUAAUAUUCUUUCCACAACCAAUUCAACGGGUGCUGUUGAUUCGUUUUCGCUGCUCAACGUCGCCCACGCCCCGGUUGUGACAUCUUUAUCUGAUUGAUUGCUUAUCUUUUCUUCAUUUAUUUCAUUAUAUAUAUAUAUAUAUUCGAUUUUGUUGAUCUUUUAUGAUGCUUGGAAGACGGGAGACCAAGCAUAAGUCAGGUAUCUGCUGGAGAUAUAAUGGCUGAUACAGUUACAUGCUUGGCAGAUGAACGGAGCUCAUCGUUACACGUGGCGCUUUGAUCACCUCGUGCCGUGUGUUACAUCUGAGCCGGACAAUCUGUGAUUCCUCCUAAAUCCCUUCCAUAGCAAAUAUUUUAGCAAGUAGGAGAACGUAAGGCUUUCUGUUAUCUGUACCAUGACGAUCAGUUAGGGUUUUCAUAAUAUUUAGCUCAUAGAGAUACCCAAACUAGCAUGCUAGUGCAUGAAACAAGUUGAUUGUUCUUCGUCUUGGCCUUAAGUGCAUGCCAAUUUCUUGGUCAUUAAUGCUUCUGCAUUGCCCAAAGCAGUCCUAGUUUCGAGAACAGGCUUCUGCUGAGGGGGCUCGCUUUGAUUUCCAUGUUUAUUCUAGAUUUGCCAGUGAGACCUGGUGAUCCUUUGGCAUCUAUUUGUUCUGGCAUCAUGCAUCUUGGUUGAUAAGUUAGAGAAGCAAAAGCUUGGGCUAGACACCUGCCACAGGUCAUGAAAAAUUUAAAGGUUUGUCAAUGCUGCUUUACAACUUGUUUGAAAUAGAGUUCGUGUAUUAAAAGCACAAGUUUGGUCGGUUCGGAAUCUGUACACAAUUGGUUGAAACGAUUUAUGUACUUGCUUGACUAUUAUAUACUGCACCUGGCGAAACUGGCGCACUUUGCAUGUGUAAAUUUUUAUUUGUGUAUAUAUGUGUGCGAUUUUCAAUAACUCAAAAUUUCUUUUUAGUAGCACUCAUUCUGUGACACAUUCCUACACAGCAGGCGAAAUGUAACAUACCCCAACAGCAGGUAAAACAAUUAAGACGUUUUUUAACCUUAUAACUAUUUGAAAAUAUAUUUUAAACAGAUAACAAGUUAUAUUAUUUUUGUUAUUCUUCAAAGUUAUUGAGCCAAGGUCUAUAACAGCCAGAUAAAUCACUCACCUUUGAAGCAGCAACUAACGCUAUUAUCACACUAACUAAUUUCAGAGAGAGCCUUCAGGUGAUGGUAAAUGACUAACAUGUACAAAGA
rnacentral:lncRNA from 1 species